CCAGUCUGAAAAUAACCUUGGAUAUAUCAGUUGUCAAGGGAGAGAGAGAACUGGGCCUUACAUUACUGUGGUACGUUAAGCUUAUUGCCUGCUCUGUAUAGCAGUGUGAUUAAACCCAUGUGCCCACAAGC
ensembl:snoRNA